AACGAACGCUGGCGGCAGGCUUAACACAUGCAAGUCGAGCGCCCCGCAAGGGGAGCGGCAGACGGGUGAGUAACGCGUGGGAACGUACCUUUUGGUUCGGACAACUCCGGGAAACUGGAGCUAAUACCGGAUAAGCCCUAACGGGGAAAGAUUUAUCGCCGAAAGAUCGGCCCGCGUCUGAUUAGCUAGUUGGUGAGGUAACGGCUCACCAAGGCGACGAUCAGUAGCUGGUCUGAGAGGAUGAUCAGCCACACUGGGACUGAGACACGGCCCAGACUCCUACGGGAGGCAGCAGUGGGGAAUAUUGGACAAUGGGCGCAAGCCUGAUCCAGCCAUGCCGCGUGAGUGAUGAAGGCCUUAGGGUUGUAAAGCUCUUUUGUCCGGGAAGAUAAUGACUGUACCGGAAGAAUAAGCCCCGGCUAACUUCGUG
rnacentral:rRNA from 1 species